GACAGAGGGUGCAAACGUUGUUCGGAAUUACUGGGCGUAAAGCGCGUGUAGGCGGUCGGGCAAGUCGGGUGUGAAAGCCCAGGGCUCAACCCUGGAAGUGCAUUCGAUACUGCCUGGCUAGAGUCCCGGAGAGGAUGGUGGAACUCUCGGUGUAGAGGUGAAAUUCGUAGAUAUCAGGAGGAACACCGGUGGCGAAAGCGGCUUCCUGGCCCGACACUGACGCUCAUGUACGAAAGCGUGGGGAGCAAACAGG
rnacentral:rRNA from 1 species